rnacentral:rRNA from 1 species
UCUAGCCUGCUCACUGACAUAAAGUGUUAAAUAGCCGCGGUAUCUUGACCGUGCAAAGGUAGCAUAAUCAUUAGUUUCUUAAUUGGGAACUUGUAUGANUGGUUGGACAAAGAAAAAUCUGUCUCUUAUAUUAAAAUUGANUUUAACUUCUAAGUGAAAAGGCUUAGAUUAACCAGAGGGACGAUAAGACCCUAUAAAGCUUUAUAAAUUUAUUAAUUUCGUCUAUNNNNCUUAUAAUGUGAUAUUGAGAAGAUUUAUUUGGUUGGGGCAACCGAAGUAUAAUUAAAGAUAACUGCUACUAUUUUAUACAAUGAUUUUUGUUAGAUGAUAAUUGAUCCUUAAAAAGAUUAAAGACCAAGUUACUUUAGGGAUAAUAGCGUAAUUUAUCCUGAGAGUUCUUAUCAAAGGAGAAGUUUGCGACCUCGAUGUUGAAUUAAAAUGUCUAUUCAGUGCAGCAGCUGAAAAGAAG